rnacentral:rRNA from 1 species
CCUACGGGAGGCAGCAGUGGGGAAUAUUGCACAAUGGGGGGAACCCUGAUGCAGCAAUGCCGCGGGGGUGAAGAAGCACUCCGGUGCGUAAAGCCCUGUCAGCAGGGAGGAAAAUGACAGUACCUGGACAAGAAGCCCCGGCGAACUACGUGCCAGCAGCCGCGGGAAUACGUAGGGGGCAGGCGUUAUCCGGAUUUACUGGGUGGAAAGGGAGCGCAGGCGGGGUGGCAAGUCAGAUGGGAAAACCCGGGGCCCAACCCCGGGAGUGCAUUUGAAACUGCCAUGCUGGAGGGCCGGAGAGGUAAGCGGAAUUCCUGGUGUAGCGGUGAAAUGCGUAGAUAUUAGGAGGAACACCAGUGGCGAAGGCGGCUUACUGGACUGUAACUGACGUUGAGGCUCGAAAGCGUGGGGAGCAAACAGGAUUAGAUACCCGGGUAGUC